rnacentral:sRNA from 1 species
AUGUCAUCCCGUGAGGUGACGAAGACGCAGAUAUACAUAACAUUCAUUAAAAUGUUUUCAAUUAUUUUUUUAAUGAAGUCUUACUCUGAGAGCCUAUUGCUGUA